rnacentral:rRNA from 1 species
CGGUCCAGACUCCUACGGGAGGCAGCAGUAGGGAAUCUUCCGCAAUGGGCGAAAGUCUGACGGAGCAACGCCGCGUGAGUGAUGAUAGGUCUUCGGAUCGUAUCUCUCUGUUAUUAGGGAAGAACAUACGUGUAUGUAACUGUGUUUCUUGACGGUACCUAAUCAGAAAGCCACGGCUAACUACGUGCCAGCAGCCGCGGUAA